ensembl:snRNA U6 U6 spliceosomal RNA
GUGCUCGCUCACUUCGGUGGCACAUAUACUAACAUUGGAACAAUAUAGAGAAGAUUAGCAUGGCCCCUGCACAAGGAUGACAUGCAAAUUCGUGAAGCGUUCCAUAUUUUU